rnacentral:rRNA from 1 species
GACGAACCGUGCAAACGUUUUUCGGAAUCACUGGGCUUAAAGGGCGCGUAGGCGGGGGACCAAGUCCGGGGUGAAAUCUUUCGGCUCAACCGGAAAACUGCCUUGGAUACUGGUCUUCUAGAGGGAGGUAGGGGCAGGUGGAACUUCCGGUGGAGCGGUGAAAUGCGUUGAUAUCGGAAGGAACGCCGGUGGCGAAAGCGACCUGCUGGAUCUCUUCUGACGCUGAGGCGCGAAAGCUAGGGGAGCGAACGGG